rnacentral:rRNA from 1 species
GACUGGGUACGGGGCCUAACCAUGCAAGUCGAACGGUAACAGGAAGAAGCUUGCUUCUUUGCUGACGAGUGGCCGAUGGGUGAGUAAUGUCUGGGAAACUGCCUGAUGGAGGGGGAUAACUACUGGAAACGGUAGCUAAUACCGCAUAACGUCGCAAGACCAAAGAGGGGGACCUUCGGGCCUCUUGCCAUCGGAUGUGCCCAGAUGGGAUUAGCUAGUAGGUGGGGUAACGGCUCACCUAGGCGACGAUCCCUAGCUGGUCUGAGAGGAUGACCAGCCACACUGGAACUGAGACACGGUCCAGACUCCUACGGGAGGCAGCAGUGGGGAAUAUUGCACAAUGGGCGCAAGCCUGAUGCAGCCAUGCCGCGUGUAUGAAGAAGGCCUUCGGGUUGUAAAGUACUUUCAGCGGGGAGGAAG